rnacentral:rRNA from 1 species
UACAUGGGGUGCAAACGUUGCUCGGAAUCAUUGGGCGUAAAGCGCGCGUAGGCGGUUACACAAGUUGGAUGUGAAAGCCCUCGGCUUAACUGAGGAAGUGCAUCCAAAACUGUGCAGCUAGAGUACUAAAGAGGGUCGCGGAAUUCCCGGUGUAGAGGUGAAAUUCGUAGAUAUCGAGAGGAACACCUGCGGCGAAGGCGGGUUGCUGGGCUGACACUGACGCUGAUGCGCGAAAGCUAGGGGAGCGAACGGG